rnacentral:rRNA from 1 species
GAGUUCAAUAGUACGUGAAACUGCUUAGAGGUUAAGCCCGAUGAACCUGAAUAUCCGUUAUGAGAAAUUCAUCACUAAUACUAUGAUAUUUAUAAUAUUAUAGAAAUAGUGUGCAAUUUUUUCAUAUAAGGACAUUGUAAUCUGUUAAUGUAAUAAAUAUUUAUUAAAAGAUCUUAUACACAAGUUUAUUCAAAUUAGUUAUUUUCGAAUUUCUAACAUAGAAUAAAUGUAUUUGAUUUAAUAAAUCAUUGACAGAUUUAAUUAUAAUAUAGUGCUUAAAUUUUGAACGAAAUUUUACAAUAAUAUAAUAAUUCAAUUUAUUAUGUUUAUUGUAUGCGCUUAUAUGAUUAACAAUGCGAUAGAUUCAGGAUACCUUCGGGACCCGUCUUGAAACACGGACCAAGGAGUCUAACAUAUGUGCAAGUCAUUGGGUAUUUUUAAUAAAACCCAAUGGCAUAAUUAACUUAACUGUUUUUUAAAUGGGAUUAGUUUAUAUUUUAUUAUGAAAUAUAAAUUCAAUCCCGGGACGUUCUAUAUAGUUAUACAUAAUGAUAUUUAUAUUAUUUAUGCCUCUAACU